UACGUAGGGUGCAAGCGUUGUCCGGAAUUAUUGGGCGUAAAGAGCUCGUAGGCGGUUCGUCGCGUCGGCUGUGAAAUCCCGAGGCUCAACCUCGGGUCUGCAGUCGAUACGGGCGGACUGGAGUUCGGCAGGGGAGACUGGAAUUCCUGGUGUAGCGGUGAAAUGCGCAGAUAUCGUGAGGAAGACCAGUGGCGAAGGCGGGUCUCUGGACAGUUCCUGACGCUGAGGCGCGAAGGCCAGGGGAGCAAACGGG
rnacentral:rRNA from 1 species